CUGCUCCGCCAUUGGAGUGAAGAUCCACCACCGCAGCGCAAUCCGCACCAUCGCCAUCGGCGCCGCGUCCACGACUUAGUACUCGGGUGCCUCGCCGUGCUUCGGGGACAGAACCGGGGCCUCGCUACGGGGGAAGGGCGGCCGGUGACCUCGGAAUUCGUCGUGUCGUCGUCCCGGGCGGGGGCGAUUGCUCACCGGCGUUGUGUCGUCGCCGCGGAAGCACUGCGCGCGUCCGAGCUCGCGGCGUCGUGGGGGAUAAGACCCUCUGAGUCCUCCACAAACCCCCGCUCGCCCCGUACUGCUCUGCUCCGCCAUUGGAGUGAAGAUCCACCACCGCAGCGCAAUCCGCACCAUCGCCAUCGGCGCCGCGUCCACGACUUAGUACUCGGGUGCCUCGCCGUGCUUCGGGGACAGAACCGGGGCCUCGCUACGGGGGAAGGGCGGCCGGUGACCUCGGAAUUCGUCGUGUCGUCGUCCCGGGCGGGGGCGAUUGCUCACCGGCGUUGUGUCGUCGCCGCGGAAGCACUGCGCGCGUGA
rnacentral:misc_RNA from 1 species